GAUCAUGGCUCAGGAUGAACGCUGGCGGCAUGCCUUACACAUGCAAGUCGAACGGCAGCACGGGAGCAAUCCUGGUGGCGAGUGGCGAACGGGUGAGUAAUAUAUCGGAACGUGCCCAGUCGUGGGGGGAUAACGUAGUGAAAGCUACGCUAAUACCGCAUACGAUCUAUGGAUGAAAGCGGGGGAUCGCAAGACCUCGCGCGAUUGGAGCGGCCGAUAUCAGAUUAGGUAGUUGGUGAGGUAAAGGCUCACCAAGCCGACGAUCUGUAGCUGGUCUGAGAGGACGACCAGCCACACUGGGACUGAGACACGGCCCAGACUCCUACGGGAGGCAGCAGUGGGAAUUUUGGACAAUGGGCGCAAGCCUGAUCCAGCAAUGCCGCGUGAGUGAUGAAGGCCUUAGGGUUGUAAAGCUCUUUUGCCCGGGAUGAUAAUGACAGUACCGGGAGAAUAAGCUCCGGCUAACUCCGUG
rnacentral:rRNA from 1 species